rnacentral:rRNA from 1 species
UUCCGGUUGAUCCUGCCGGACCCGACUGCUAUCAGAGUGGGCCUAAGCCAUGCGAGUCGUACGCCCUCCAACCAUGGGGAGGGCGUGGCGAACGGCUCAGUAACACGUAGUCAACCUACCCUGAAGAGGUGGAUAACCCCGGGAAACUGGGACUAAUCCGCCAUAGAUCAGGAUUCCUGGAACGGGUCUUGAUCCAAAGGAGUGGGCAGGCAUGUUCUGCCUACUUGCUUCAGGAUGGGACUGCGGCCGAUCAGGUCGUUGGUGGGGUAAUGGCCCACCAAGCCAGUAACCGGUACGGGCUUUGAGAGAAGGAGCCCGGAGAUGGACACUGAGAUAAGGGUCCAGGCCCUACGGGGCGCAGCAGGCGCGAAAACUUCGCAAUGCGCGAAAACGCGACGAGGCUACCCUGAGUGUCGUCCGCUGAGGACGACUUUUACUAGGUUUAAAAGGCCUAGGGAAUAAGGGGAGGGCAAGUCUGGUGUCAGCCGCCGCGGUAAUACCAGCUCCUCGAGUGGUCGGGACGUUUAUUGGGCCUAAAGCAUCCGUAGCUGGCCCUGUAGGUCUCCCGUUAAAUUCAACGGCUUAACCGUUGAGCUGCAGGAGAUACCGCAGGGCUAGGAGGCGGGAGAGGCGGACGGUACUCCGGGGGGUAGGGGUAAAAUCCACUGAUCCUCGGAAGACCACCAGUGGCGAAGGCGGUCCGCCAGAACGCGCUCGACAGUGAGGGAUGAAAGCUGGGGGAGCGAACCGGAUUAGAUACCCGGGUAGUCCCAGCUGUAAACGAUGCGAGCUAGGUGAUG